UGAAAUCAGAAAAUGUUGAAU
rnacentral:piRNA from 1 species